ACUACGGGUGGCAGCAGUGAGGAAUAUUGGUCAAUGGGCGGAAGCCUGAACCAGCCAAGUAGCGUGCAGGAUGACGGCCCUACGGGUUGUAAACUGCUUUUAUACGGGAAUAACGCGCCUUACGUGUAGGGCUUUGCAUGUACCGUAUGAAUAAGGACCGGCUAAUUCCGUGCCAGCAGCCGCGGUAAUACGGAAGGUCCGGGCGUUAUCCGGAUUUAUUGGGUUUAAAGGGAGCGUAGGCCGCAUGUCAAGCGUGCUGUGAAAUGUCCGGGAUCAACCCGGGCCUUGCAGCGAGAACUGGCGUGCUUGAGUCCGCGGAAAGCAGGCGGAAUUCGUGGUGUAGCGGUGAAAUGCUUAGAUAUGACGAAGAACCCCGAUUGCGAAGGCAGCUUGCUGCAGCGGAACUGACGCUGAUGCUCGAAAGCGCGGGUAUCGAACAGGAUUAGAUACCCGAGUAGUC
rnacentral:rRNA from 1 species